rnacentral:rRNA from 1 species
GACAGAGGAUGCAAGCGUUAUCCGGAAUGAUUGGGCGUAAAGCGUCUGUAGGUGGCUUUUCAAGUCCGCCGUCAAAUCCCCGGGCUCAACCUGGGAAUGGCGAUGGAUACUGGGCAGCUAGAGUGUGUCAGAGGAUGGUGGAAUUCCCGGUGUAGCGGUGAAAUGCGUAGAGAUCGGGAGGAACAUCAGUGGCGAAGGCGGCCAUCUGGGACAACACUGACGCUGAAGCACGAAAGCGUGGGGAGCAAACAGG